CCGACUUUCUUCUUUGAGGAAGCUUCAUCUUCGGAGCUAUAUUCACCACAGUAGCAGGCAGAGAGACUUGGAGGAUCAAGUGGAUGAGUGGAAGAAGGAUUACAAAAGAAUGGAGAGGGAUUUUGGUGGAGAGAAGAGGCGGAUUAGAGAAGAACGGAGGAGUGCUAGGGCACGCUCCAACCGUUUCAAACAAAGGGAGAAAGCACGAAAAUCUCUUUUCCCAGAUGGCGAUUUAUGGUGG
rnacentral:lncRNA from 1 species